GUGCUGGCGCAGCUACCAUGCAGUCGAGCGGUAACAGGGGUAGCUUGCUACCCGCUGACGAGCGGCGGACGGGUGAGUAAUGCAUAGGAAUCUGCCCGAUAGUGGGGGAUAACCUGGGGAAACCCAGGCUAAUACCGCAUACGUCCUACGGGAGAAAGGGGGCUCCGGCUCCCGCUAUUGGAUGAGCCUAUGUCGGAUUAGCUAGUUGGUAAGGUAAUGGCUUACCAAGGCAACGAUCCGUAGCUGGUCUGAGAGGAUGAUCAGCCACAUCGGGACUGAGACACGGCCCGAACUCCUACGGGAGGCAGCAGUGGGGAAUAUUGGACAAUGGGGGCAACCCUGAUCCAGCCAUGCCGCGUGUGUGAAGAAGGCCCUCGGGUUGUAAAGCACUUUCAGCGAGGAAGAACGCCUAUCGGUUAAUACCCGGUAGGAAAGACAUCACUCGCAGAAGAAGCACCGGCUAACUCCGUGCCAGCAGCCGCGGUAAUACGGAGGGUGCAAGCGUUAAUCGGAAUUACUGGGCGUAAAGCGCGCGUAGGUGGCUUGAUAAGCCGGUUGUGAAAGCCCCGGGCUCAACCUGGGAACGGCAUCCGGAACUGUCAGGCUAGAGUGCAGGAGAGGAAGGUAGAAUUCCCGGUGUAGCGGUGAAAUGCGUAGAGAUCGGGAGGAAUACCAGUGGCGAAGGCGGCCUUCUGGACUGACACUGACACUGAGGUGCGAAAGCGUGGGUAGCAAACAGGAUUAGAUACCCUGGUAGUCCACGCCGUAAACGAUGUCGACCAGCCGUUGGGUGCCUAGAGCACUUUGUGGCGAAGUUAACGCGAUAAGUCGACCGCCUGGGGAGUACGGCCGCAAGGUUAAAACUCAAAUGAAUUGACGGGGGCCCGCACAAGCGGUGGAGCAUGUGGUUUAAUUCGAUGCAACGCGAAGAACCUUACCUACCCUUGACAUCUACAGAAGCCGGAAGAGAUUCUGGUGUGCCUUCGGGACUGUAAGACAGGUGCUGCAUGGCUGUCGUCAGCUCGUGUGUGAAAUGUUGGGUUAGUCCCG
rnacentral:rRNA from 1 species